GGUUUGUAGGGGUGAAACGUUAGUCGUUUAUUAAUAUAUCUGGUUUUAAAGGAAAUAAAUUAAAU
rnacentral:tRNA from 1 species